rnacentral:rRNA from 1 species
GGCAAAUCUCAAAAAGACCGUCCCAGUUCGGAUUGCAGGCUGCAACCCGCCUGCAUGAAGUUGGAAUCGCUAGUAAUCGCGGAUCAGCAUGCCGCGGUGAAUACGUUCCCGGGCCUUGUACACACCGCCCGUCACACCAUGAGAGUCGGGAACACCCGAAGUCCGUAGCCUAACCGCAAGGGGGGCGCGGCCGAAGGUGGGUUCGAUAAUUGGGGUGAAGUCGUAACAAGGUACC